GACGAACGCUGGCGGCGUGCUUAACACAUGCAAGUCGAACGGAAAGGCCCUGCUUUUGUGGGGUGCUCGAGUGGCGAACGGGGGAGUAACACGUGAGUAUCCUGCCCUUGACUUUGGGAUAACUUCAGGAAACUGGGGCUAAUACCGGAUAUGAGCUCCUGCUGCAUGGUGGGGGUUGGAAAGUUUCGGCGGUUGGGGAUGGACUCGCGGCUUAUCAGCUUGUUGGUGGGGUAGUGGCUUACCAAGGCUUUGACGGGUAGCCGGCCUGAGAGGGUGACCGGCCACAUUGGGACUGAGAUACGGCCCAGACUCCUACGGGAGGCAGCAGUGGGGAAUAUUGCACAAUGGGCGGAAGCCUGAUGCAGCAACGCCGCGUGCGGGAUGACGGCCUUCGGGUUGUAAACCGCUUUCGCCUGUGACGAAGCGUGAGUGACGGUAAUGGGUAAAGAAGCACCGGCUAACUACGUG
rnacentral:rRNA from 1 species